UCUAGUCCGACAAGGCCACUAACAGGAUCAAGUACCACAUACUCAAUCAAAGGUGAGGCACAGAGAAAAAUACAAUAAAGCAUAAAAACCAUAAUUUAAAGAAGUACUUAAGGUUAUUACAUCAUCGCCGGAGUUUCAAAAGAAGUAACCAUUGUUCUCGAUGCAGCGGAAAUUAACUAACGGUAAAAAUAAAAGGGAGGAUGGGGAAGCCUGGCCAAUCACUCCUCAUGCUCCUCUCCCGCUGAGGUGGGGUCCCACUCGACUGUCCAACCCGAUGGCAGGGUGGACGGCCAAGUCGCUCCAGCAACCAUAUCCUCCAGAGUACCUGUAAAAUUGUGCCACAAGCAAGGCUGAGUAUACUAAUACUCAGCUAGACUUACCCGGUGUGAGGAGUCUAGCCUCUACCUCUAGACCAUGCAGCUGUUUGGCUGUGGGGUUUGGUUUGGCAAAAGCACUAGCUGAGUAUAAAAACAAAUUUUAGCUUUUCAAGUUUUAGUGUAAUCCUUUAGACUAGAUGAGUACCUAGCUAUUCAUACAUGGUAUCAAACAUUAUUGCAAUCAACAUCUUUUGAAUGUCACCUCAUUCCACUUCUUACUCAAUGCAGCAGCAUGGAUCAAGCAGUCUCAUUAGCUGCGAGAAGCAGACGAUUCGAAUCGAGUUUUAACCUUGCAAGGUAAACCUAAACACAUGAUGUGGCGAGGCACUCCGUCCCCACACACAUCAACCGUCCCCAUCGAUUCCCCGUCAACAGAAAGGGGCUCUUCGCCUUGGCGUACAAUGCCUCACUGACCCCGACUGCCGUCGUGUAGUGACCACACUUGUACCCACCAUAACCAGAAUGGGAGACCACGUCUCAGGUCACGUGAGGAGGACAAUCUGCGGGUAGGUUCACUCAAGUACUAGGCUUGCCAAUUUACCACAUUUCUCGGCAUGUGUUUAGUACGUUCAAACACUUGACACAUGGUACCACAUUUUAAUCCUUAUUUCAAUUUUUCAUCUCGUAGACAACGCAUCCCCAUGGAAGGUUGUCCACAGACCAUCAUCAUUCCAAUAUAAAAAUGGAUACAAUCAAUUCCUGGCCUCACGUGAGUGCUAGAAAAAUCAAUCGACUUCUACUGAGAUCCCUAAUUAGUAAAGCAGCUACUCGACCUAGCAUACUAGUAUCCAUCUCAAAGGAAUCCUGAGUUCAUGGAACUAGGGUUUCAGACAACUCCUACACUUAAGUGCACAGUACAAGCCUACAGUCAUUAAGUGUAGUAAAAUAGCAUAUAUAACGGUUAUGCAUAAAACCGGGCUUGCCUUCAAAAGCUGCGGCGGGGAGAUCCUUAGUGGCAGGCUCUGGUGCUGGCUCCUGGACUCCCUCCUGAGCAACUCCUUGUUCGGAAUGAGUACGUAUUCUCCGUCAGCGAGGUUACAAUCUAUCGAAUGCAAUGAAUAAGAUACAUGUAUGUUAAUGAUAUGCAAAUUUAGUAAACGCGAUGUAUGGUGAAGCAACACUAAGGCAGUGGGUAAAUUAGGGUUUCGUUGUCGUACGAAGUUCUUAUUAGUGCAUACUUACUAGUUUAGGUUUUUGAGUGGAUUAAGAAUUUAAUCUUAUUAGUGGGGGUUUUGUACUAAAAGUUAUUUUUGCUAGCAUCUAUGGGUACUAACAUGCUUCUGUGCCAAAAAUCACAGAGGGUGACUCAAUGGUUAUUUUGUUGUGAUUUUCUAAAGUCUAAUGCCAAAAAGACACUUAUAACUAACUUUCUAUUUGAAAAAUAUCAAACAACAUAACUUGUAUUUUUCCUAGAUUCAUACUAGCAUAAUAGUAGUUAUUCCUAAGGUUGGGGUGGUUCCUCCUUAGGAUUAUUUUCCUAUGAUUUUUCUAAGUUCUCACUAUUUUCAAUAAAUAAAAGGUGGUGCAUUUUCUUUGUACUAAAUGAGGGUUCAACAAAAUUUUCUUAUGAACUACAUCACCUAAGCAAGUGAGGAAAAAUAUGGUUGCCCUCUGGUCCUCAUUUUAAAUCGCAUUUUUCAUUUUCUUAAGGUUUGGGCUAACACAAGUUUUAAUGGAUAAUCUUUCCUUAACCUAGUAUACUGGGGAGUUUAAUAUUUUUAAACAGUGUAGAUACUAGCUAAGUAUGUCUGCAAUUUUUCUCAGCCCUAGUCCAAAAGUAUUUUUAUUUUUCCUCUAGUUAUCAAGGUUUCAGCAGUUUGCUUAAAUAAAUCCAAACUACAAAACGGGUUACAGGAAUCAUGGUGUUUAUCAUUUUUGCUGGAUAGUUUAUGAAAUGCAUGUUCUAACAAAAUUUGUUCAACCAAAUUUGGUUGGCUACAAUUCAAGUUAUGAAUUUUCUAAGUCUACUGCUUAUUUGAAAAAGAAUAAAUCUAAAGGUUUAAGGAAAACAUCUUUGCACGGGCCCCUGGGGUUUUCCUUAACCGAAUCCUUAAAUCUGUGCCCCUGGGAAACUAUUCACCAGAGUCAUUGACUUUGCCAAUAACCCCUUGGCCUUUUCCCUUUCUUAACCCGCACUCCCUCCUUGUCGGAACAGUAGCCGUAGGGAUAAAAAGCGGUGGCGCGGCUUACCAGCAGUGGGAGAGGUCGGGUGGAGGGUCGGGUGAGGUUCGGGGGCUCUUGGCAGUCACGUCGAGGGGCGAAUCGUCGACGAUGGUGGCCGGAGUAGGGUUGGCCGCGUGCGCCGGCCUGCUCACGGCGGUAGAGCUCAAUCAAAAUGCUUAGGGAGCUUAACAAGAGGUCCAAGGUGCUGUAGGCACAGGGAAUCAAAGGGUGGCUCACCGUGCAGCUCGGUCUACGUGCGACAACGGUCGGAUGAAGUCCGGCGAUGUCAAUCCGGCACCUCCGGCGAAGUAGUGCUCAGUCUGAAGGCUCAGGGAGCUUCACGGAGCUCCAGGGAGGCUAGCUAAGGGGUUGGAUUGGAUGGAGGUGGGCCGGAGUGGCCGGUCCACGAUGGUCGGGGCUCGGGUGGCCGCUGGCACGCCGUGCGCAGAGCGAACUCCGGCGAUCUUGCGCUUGGGCGGGGCUGAGAGCGAGCGAGGGUGUACAGUCAAGGCCUUGGUCGAUUUUAUAGGCGCGGGUUUGGGCACGGGGUCAGGCGUCGCACGGCGUGGGCACGCGGGGCCGAGCGUCGGGGCGUGCUCUGGCAUGCCAGGGCAGGUCGAACACGUGUUCGUUUAUUUCUGCCGAAUUUCAAGCGCUUGCUGAGCAGCCUAAUGUGCGAAUCUCGCCAAAAGACUUGUGUAAAAUCUCUUCUCUACACCUAGGGCUAUCUAGUUUGUGUGAAUUCCAAGUGAAGAUCUGGUCUGGUUUUUGAGAUAUGGUGGCGCCAAGUCAGGGUUGUCGGCAUUGUUCAACCCGAGACAAAACUUGUGUCAAACCAUUUCAAACGGUUUUGGUUUGGUUUCAAAUUUUUCAGGGGUGUGCCUUGGGUACUUUGGCGCCAUUUUGUCAAUUGGACCAUGUUGAUUUGGCACCUACAACUAAUUGAACAUGUCUGAUCUUUAGAAGAGGGCUGAUUUUUGACUUACAUAAAAUAGGUUGCCCUUGAGUGCUUUUCACUUGGGUGCUUAAUUUGGAGUUUUUGUGGGACCUUUUUGGAAUAACUCCCUUACUAUUUUUUGUAAAUAUUUAAAUGUGCUACAACUUUUGCAAAAGGUUUAAGUCAUGAUUUGGCCAUCUACUUAGCUCUUCCACUAAUCCAAUCUUGGGGCUUCAAUGGUUCAAGGGGCGGUCUAGGGUUUGAGCAUCUUUUUCCAAAGUGGAGAUACAGGAAAAGCUAGGGUAUCCCUUCUAUCAUGAUCAUCACUUAAUUAAGCCAUGGUUUCUAAAUUUUGGUGCUCUUUCUUCCCACUUAUACACAUGUGAUAACAGGUCAUAGGUGCAUGUAUUGAGCCAGGGCCUUGGGUAACACCUGGGGUGUUACAGCCCGACUCUUCAUGAGGAGCAGCUUGACUAGGAGAUCAGGGAUUUAGAAGCAAUCCAUCAGUAAGUUCAAAGGAAAAAGGAGAAAAUGCUCCGGUUGGCCGAUCUUUAGAAGAAGAUUGACGAAGUAGUUGAAGAGAUGCAUCAUCUUACUCAAGAUGACCAGGACCGAAUGCCUCAACACAGGGAGCUUCAUCAGGAAAGCCCAUUCAACGAAGAUGAAUGGUAUGAUGACUUCCAUCAUGGUAACUUUACUUUUGAUGAUGCUUCUCCUCUGGCAGCAGAAUUGCUGGCUACCCCGUGGCCACAGUCUUACAAGCCACCUUAGUUACCCAUGUAUGAUGGGCAUUCGGAUCCAAAGCAAUUUCUGAUGAGCCACGAGGCAACAAUAUCCUCGUAUGGGGGCAACGCUGUUGUCAUGGCAAAGUCCUUUGUCAUGGUAGUAAGAAGUGUGGCCCAGACAUGGUAUUCCUCCCUUCGGCCAGUGACAAUCACAUCAUGGCAAAAGCUGAAGGACAUGCUAGUCACUAGCUUCCAAGGCUUUCAAACGAAGCCAGUCACUGCUUAGGCCUUGUUUCAAUGCAUGCAAGACCAUGAGGAGUACAUGCAAGCGUACAUCCGAAGGUUCCUGCGUUUGAGAGAUCAAGAACCUACAAUACCCAAUAAAAUUGUUAUUGAGGCCAUGAUCAAGGGGCUUCGGCCAGGACCUACAACUCAAUAUUUUGCAAGGAAGCCACCAUAGACCUUGGAAAAACUCCUCCAGAAGAUGGAUGAAUACAUAUCCGAGCUGAUAACGAUUUUCGUCAAAGAAGGGAGGAAACUUACAGGUUUUCUGAAAUGACUAGAGGCUUUCGAGGAAGACUUCAUCCCACUUCAUUAUAUCCAAAGCUUCUUUCAUAGCCGGGUCGGCUUCAGGAUUGUAUGGCUCCAUGGUGGUGAAAGGCCAGCUGCAAUAAACAAUAUGUUAGUGAAUUUCAAAGCUAGAAGUGAACAACGAAGCAAAACCUUAAAUAAAAGUACCUAUGAUCCUGGCAUGUUCAGCAACUUCUUCAGCUCGUUUAGCCUCUUCUCGGGCGUUGUGAGAUUCUCUCUCAUUCUUUUUAAUGGCUUCAUUAGCCAUCUCAUGACCACCCUUCAUCCAAACAUCAGAGUAAAACCUCCCGCCUAGCAAAGAGGCUUCGGCUGAGGGGUCCUUGGUGUCAUCUGCUGAGAAAAUAGAUUCUGGCUGGGCUGUGGCCUUAACAUGUUCACAACCGGCCUUCUCUAAAAUUGCCGCGACCCCUCGUGCACCGGCGAAAGCGCAAAAAUCCCCACGAUCGCUGAGUAUUUCAUCAAAAGCUUCGGCCUCCUCGCCGAUCCACUGGAUAACCCCUUCGGGAUCACCACGAAUAAACUUCUGUUCCAAAGAGUAUGCACCCACCCUUGCAAAACUAUUUUCUAGCUUUUUGGCGCAUUCCAAGGUUGUUUCGUAGCAUCUCUCCUUGGAAUCCCAAAGCUCUUCAACAUUCUUUUGCACCCUUGAUGUUACCAUUUCACUUAUUUCCUGCUUCGCCUUUUCAACUUCAAAAUUUUCACUCAUUUCUGCAAGCUUUUUCUUCAAACUUUCGACUUCAGCUUUGUGGGCUUCGGUUUGUGCACUAAGCUUGACUUCUCUAGUUUUAAUCUUGUCCACUAAGGAAAACAAUAUUUUAUCUUUCUUGAGAACUUCAUUCCUUAGUGAAAUGACCUCUGACCGAUGAUUCCCAAGAGCUAUCUGACAGCUCUCAUCGUCUGCUCCCUUUUGAGCCCUUAAAGCCUUAAUUAGAAUUAAGCCCUAAUAACAAAAAUACAUGUGAGAACAUAACGAUAGCAAGAAAACCUACAAACAUGGUUUAUUUUACAACAAAAGUAUAUAUACCUUCAAGCUAUUGUAAGCAAGGUUGUCUGCAAGGUCAUCCUUCGACAUCGCAGAUAGGCCGAGUUCAAGCUUUGGGUACCCCAUAUUUCUCAUCAUUUCUCGGUAGACGGAAAUCUCUUUAUUGUCUGGCAAAAAAUAAAGGAAAUCAUCCUCAUCAUUGCUGCUGUACACCAAGGACCCUCGGGGGUACUUCAGAUCCUUGGCAUAUUGCCUAGCUUCGGCAAUCUGCUCCUCCGACAAUUACUUCCCCGAAGCAUGUCGCACAAUGAACUCUAAUUCUUCAAUAGAUGCUCUGGGGCCAGGAGACUUUGAUUUCUCAGAGGGACCUUCUCUUUCCAAGACUAGUGGUGCAUUUUUUUGAAGGUUUUGCCUCAGCAGAAACUAAAGGUCCAGCUUCAGAAAUAGCUUGCGCUGAACCAACUUCGAUAGAUUCCUUUAAAAAUUCGCAUUCUGCACUAGGUGCUUCAGUAGAAGCAGGAGUUGAUGCCUUUACGUAUUCCAUGACAGCAUCCAGCACACUGGUCAUUCUCUUCUUCUUUGGAGUCACUGCAGGGAUCCUUGAGGCCUUCGUCAAUUCUGUCUCGCGCAGUGGACUCAAGGCCUUCGGUUGCUCUACCACCUUCUUCAGUUUCAGCUCUUCAGCCGGGCUUGACUUAGCUUCGUCAGGCAUAGAGCGACUAGUCUCAGAUAUAGAAGCAGACCCUUCAAUUAGCUUCGGUACUUCGGCCGUUUCAAUGCGCCUAGGUCGGUGUGUUAAAACUUUACUUUUUCAACUUUGGCGUGCUGGAAGUCACCGAAGUAGCAAUCUUCCUCUUCUUUCCUUGUUUCCGUGAAGGAUAACUAUAAUCUGGAUAUACAAAUCCAAUAACAUCAAAUACCCUGUUCAGCCUCUUUUUGCCACGAGCCCCGAAGGCAGUCGUCAUGGCGUCAUCUUCAGCCUUCAUAUAUGCCUCAAGCAAUUCAUCACUAGUUUCUUCAAUGGCAUCCGACCAAUCAUCAUUCGGCUCAUCGAAUUGGUUCCUGUACCUGAAGGUGUACUUCAGUUAAACUAAAUCGCCUUGGCUGGACUCAGGAGGAGCUUCCUUUGGCAUCUCCCAUCCAUUUGUGAGUGGCCACACCCUAUAAGCAAUAUGCUCCUGGAUUAAGUCCCUUGUGCCUAUGUAAGUACAUAUUGUAUUGAAGGCCAUCUGGCAUGCUUGUAUGUCAUUACCAAGGGCAGUGGAUGGCCUCCUAAUGCCUAAGUGAGACCAUAUAAGACGUUGAAUAAUCCCCUUAAUAUCCUCCCUUUCAGCCAGGUCGUUCUUCAUGUAGAACCACUCCUGCAUCCAGGCCCCAGGCCAUCUCUUCUGAAAUGUCGGAACUAGGUAGCUCACCUCAGAGCGAGGCACGAAGCUGUAACAACCGAAGUUGUUGUGAUAUUGUUCUAUUCUAGUGGCCUUCGUCUCAUAAGACAGCUCAUGGAUGUUAUAGAAACACUUUGCAUCUGGUUCUAGUCUGUGGCUCCUCGUGGCCCAUAUAAACAUCCCCACCUUAAUGAUAGCUUCGGGAGUAAGCUGAUGAAGGUAAAUUUUGAAAGUUUUAAGGACUUCGACCAUCAAUUUAUGCAAAGGGAACCAAAGCCCUGCCUCCAUGAAGCUUCUAUAAACCACCAAUUCGUUAGCUUUUGGCAGAGGGACAUUAUUUUCCCCUCCAACCCUCACAAUUGAGAUAUCACAGAAGUACCUUCCCCUCAUUGCAUCAAUUUGCCCUUGCUUGAUAGUUGAUUUCCCGAAGACAACAUGGCUUGGUCUCUAGGGCCGAUCUUUGGCAUCUUCAUUCCUGCUCUCUGCAUCAAAACUUUCACUAUCACUGGAACCCUCAGAUAUCCCAGCUAACUUCUCAUGUGCAAUCUUCUCUACGUUGGUUUUUUCCAUAGCUUCGUAAAACCCGAACAACGCUGGGUCAACAAUCUUCUUCUCGUCAGCCAUCAAACUGAUGGUUGUUGAAAUACCGAAGCUUGAAACCCAAUUAAACUCGCCAAAGCAAGAAAAUUUAAAAAGACGAGCACAAUGUAAGCAACUGAAAUGGCACAAGAAAUGCUUUCAAUAUUUACAUGUCUAGCACCCUAAAGUUUGGUGGGUCCCGCAUGUCUGUGUCAUUCGCUAUUCUAGCGAAGGGAAGGUGUUUUUUCAAACCUUCGGCUAAAGGCCUUCAUUCACGUCACAUCUUAAAUUUGUUACAAAGAAACAAAUCAACACUGCGAGGGGCUACUGUUGGGGGCCUUCUCCUUCCGAAGGUCCUCAAAAACAUAACUAACCAUUUGUUUUUAGCAUAAGCUAUUACAGGAAGCUUCAUCUUCAGGAUAUAAGCCUCUUAUGAUGAAGACAUGCAAAAUGAAGACAUAUCCAAAGAAGAUAAGAGUAAACACCGAAGCUAGCACCAUACAGAAAAGAUCCGGCUCGCAACGAAGCGGAGGAAUAAUGAUGAUGGCCAAAGGAGGAAAAGACCACUUAGUCUUUUAUAACUUGUAUUACGAUCAUGAGUAAACACUGAGGACAUAAAUGUACUUUUCCUCGGUUUGCAUCCCGUGCCUAUAAAUAGAUGAACAGUAGCACCGUACUGUUCAUGCUGGAUUGUUUUCACUCUCGCAUCCUCACCUUCGAGCAAGCCGAAGGUAUCAAUGUAAUAUUAACAUUAUUGUUAUUCAUAUAUGUUUUGUGGGAUGCAAGAAUAAAUGAAUUAUUAAGAUAUAAUUAUCAUACUUGUUCCUUCGCAUUCCUAUCCUUGUAAUUGAUGCGAUGAAGGUAUGUCUUUCUUGACCUUCGUUUAAGGAGCAUUAUAUUCGUAAGGAAAUAAUGAUUCGAAGGACAAAGGUCCUUAAUGAUUAACAAUUGUGUUUCCUUGUUCUUGACUCACAUCAUUUGAGAACAAGUGACCAACAACGUCGUAACGAGAUCGCAGGUUCGAGAACCACUAAAUUUGAAGUUACAGAUAAAGAGUUAUGAUUUUCUGAAGAUUUAAAUGUUGGGUACAAAAGAAAUUAAGUGCACAAUUUUAUCCUAGGUUUCAUAACAAUAUAAAGUUACUAGGUGAUAAACAAUAUUAAUAUGAGAUUAAUGCAACUGGAAUGGAUAAAAAAGAAAUUAAGAUGAAUUAAAUAUGAUAUAAACAAGUUUCUAGAAUUAUUUAUAUACUAGAAAACAUUUUUUAUUUUAAUUCUGAAUUUCUUUAAAGACUCUGGACCGUGGACACUAUAAACGCAGAAGGCCAGGGGUUGUUUUAUAAAACUCAGGACUCGACUGAAAUUAGUUUAACACUAGGAGAGGAUUGCAGGUUGAUUCAACAUUUCCUUAGGGGUUCAUAUGCAAAAUGGUGCAUGCGAAGGGGUAUCGUCUGACCCCAGCCGUCCGAUCUGCUUCCACGGAUCAGACUAGAUCACACAAAUCACAAAACCGGUCAGCCACCUUGACUGCCAGAUUGUCGAUCGACGACCGAUUAGCAACCACACAUUGCACCAAUCUACACCCUCCAUUAUCGAUCCCAUGGCACAGAUCAACCCCGUGAAGGGGUAAGCGCACAUCAAUUUCUGGCCGUCGAUUGGAGGAUCCACGGUGGUCGCUCCAUCUUUCCCCCUGGCGCCCAACCACGACCACGCACAAAACCCGCACGACGGUGGCCAUGGCCAAAGCGCGACAACUCAGUGCUCCCAGCGCCUAAACUCGCCACCCAUCGGUGCGUCACAUAUAGCAGGACAAGGCGAACCACAGGAGGCAAGACUCACCGACGAUUAAGGCUGUGGAAGUACUGACCACAUGCAGGGCGACCCAGCGGUGAGGAAGAAGCUUCGGCGAGAAAUUACAGGUCCCCUGGACCGCAAUUCCAUCAGGUGAAGCCCGGUGCGCCAUCCACGCCACAUGGAGAAGCUCCAGGGGCUGGUUCCAGGGGUCAGAGCGAGGCGAAGCACGUGAUCAACAACGGCGGUAAUCCUCUCAGUUUCACCCCAAAUUCCACCCAUUGCUGGUGGCUUGCUUGGUUUGUC
rnacentral:lncRNA from 1 species